rnacentral:rRNA from 1 species
UGUCGUAACAAGGUUUCCGUAGGUGAACCUGCGGAAGGAUCAUUAAUGCAACCCAAACCUACUCAACCAAGCCAUUCUGUUGCGGAGCGCAAGCGACGCAGCUAACAACCUAACCAAAAGAAGCUUAACCAAGCCAAAUAACAAAAACAAAUCCUCAACGAUGGAUAUCUAGGUUCCUACGACGAUGAAGAACGCAGCGAAGUGCGAUAAGCAAUGCGAAUUGCAGAGCCGAGAGUCAUCAGAUUUUUGAACGCAACUGGCACCUGAGGGUAUUCCCUCAGGUGUGCUUUCUUCAGUGUGUGAAUCUCUCAUCACCCAAACCUUAAUGCGAUAGAUGCCCUUCUAUUGCGAAACACGAAAGCACUCUGUUCUCUGCAGCGGAGGUCUUCGGACUGACGCACUCAAUGCAGUAGUCACAUUCUCAAAUGUGAACUCAUUGAGCGUGGAGUCAGCGCAUGUCUCAUGCCAGUGCUUAGACACUCAAAUUUUCCAAGCACCUGAAGUGAAGUAGGAGGACCCGCUGAACUUAAGCAUAUCAUUAAGCGGAGGAAAAGAAACUAACAAGGAUUCCCCUAGUACGGGCGACGGAAGCGGGAAAAGCCCACAGUGGUAAUCUCUGUUCUUCGAACAGCGAAUUGUAAUCUGAAGGCAGCCAGCCUGAGUAGACCGAUUGGACGCAGAAAUCCGGAGGAGUCCGGUGCCAAAGAGGGUGAGAGCCCCGUCUGUGGUGUCCGAUUACUGCAAAGGCUUGUAGUCUAAGAGUCGUGUACUUUGAUACUAGUGCACAAAGCGGGAGAUAAACUUCUUCUAAGGCUAAAUAAACGUAGGAGACCGAUAGCGAACAAGUACUGUGAAGGAAAGAUGAAAAGCACUUUGGAGAGAGCGUCAAAAGACUUGAAAUCGUUGAGGCGGACCCGGUAGAAAUGAAUUCUGGGGGCGUCCACUGGGAAGCCUGCGACAGCGGGCCACUUGUGAGCGUCAGCACGGCAAGAUGGAGUCGUUUGAUGCCAGAGGCGGUGCUCUGCGUGCUUCGGUACGUGAGUGUUGGCCGGGUGUCGAGCGGCUUGAGGGGCUUUGUGCGAUCUUGCCAAAAUGGUUUUUACCGACUCGUCUUGAAACACGAACCAAGGAGUCUAAGGCUAACGCGAGUGUGGUGGUGGAGAAACCAACACGCGAAAUGAAAGUGAAUGAUGCCAAUACAACUGCAGCAUCGACCGACUUACGUCUAUAGGCGGAGGUUUGAGUAAGAGCGUUAUUCUUAGGACCCGAAAGAUGGUGAACUAUGCGUGA